rnacentral:rRNA from 1 species
UACGGGGGGGGCAAGCGUUGUUCGGAAUUACUGGGCGUAAAGGGCGCGUAGGCGGCCGCCUAAGUCAGACGUGAAAUCCCUCGGCUCAACCGGGGAACUGCGUCUGAUACUGGGUGGCUUGAAUCCGGGAGAGGGAUGCGGAAUUCCAGGUGUAGCGGUGAAAUGCGUAGAUAUCUGGAGGAACACCGGUGGCGAAGGCGGCAUCCUGGACCGACACUGACACUGAGGAGCGAAAGCCAGGGGAGCAAACGGG